UUAGUACUCCCUCCAUCCAACAAAGGAUGUCUCAACUUUGACUAAAUUUGAAUGUGUCUAUACACUAAGUCAUGUCUAGAUACAUCCAAAUUUUGACAAACUUGAGACAUCUUUUGUUGGACGGAGGGAGUAUAUG
rfam:Brachypodium distachyon strain Bd21 chromosome 3, whole genome shotgun sequence.